rnacentral:tRNA from 1 species
GCCAGUUUGGCUCAGUGGAUAGAGUGUUGGACUGCGGACCAAAGGGUCACGGGUUUGAUUCCCGUCAAGGGCA